rnacentral:rRNA from 1 species
UACGGAGGGUGCAAGCGUUAUCCGGAUUCACUGGGUUUAAAGGGUGCGUAGGUGGGUUGGUAAGUCAGUGGUGAAAUCCCCGAGCUUAACUUGGGAACUGCCAUUGAUACUAUCAGUCUUGAAUACCGUGGAGGUUAGCGGAAUAUGUCAUGUAGCGGUGAAAUGCUUAGAUAUGACAUAGAACACCAAUUGCGAAGGCAGCUGGCUACACGAAUAUUGACACUGAGGCACGAGAGCGUGGGGAUCAAACAGG